rnacentral:rRNA from 1 species
AGCGGCAGCGGAAAGUAGCUUGCUACUUUGCCGGCGAGCGGCGGACGGGUGAGUAAUGUCUGGGGAUCUGCCUGAUGGAGGGGGAUAACUACUGGAAACGGUAGCUAAUACCGCAUAACCUCGCAAGAGCAAAGUGGGGGACCUUCGGGCCUCACGCCAUCGGAUGAACCCAGAUGGGAUUAGCUAGUAGGUGGGGUAAUGGCUCACCUAGGCGACGAUCCCUAGCUGGUCUGAGAGGAUGACCAGCCACACUGGAACUGAGACACGGUCCAGACUCCUACGGGAGGCAGCAGUGGGGAAUAUUGCACAAUGGGCGCAAGCCUGAUGCAGCCAUGCCGCGUGUGUGAAGAAGGCCUUCGGGUUGUAAAGCACUUUCAGCGAGGAGGAAGGGUUAAGUGUUAAUAGCACUGAACAUUGACGUUACUCGCAGAAGAAGCACCGGCUAACUCCGUGCCAGCAGCCGCGGUAAUACGGAGGGUGCAAGCGUUAAUCGGAAUUACUGGGCGUAAAGCGCACGCAGGCGGUUUGUUAAGUCAGAUGUGAAAUCCCCGAGCUUAACUUGGGAACUGCAUUUGAAACU